rnacentral:rRNA from 1 species
UACAGAGGGUGCAAACGUUGCUCGGAAUCAUUGGGCGUAAAGCGCACGUAGGCGGCCCAGCAAGUGGGGAGUGAAAGCCCUCGGCUUAACCGAGGAAGUGCUUUCCAAACUACUGGGCUUGAAUACUGGAGAGGGUCGCGGAAUUCCCGGUGUAGAGGUGAAAUUCGUAGAUAUCGAGAGGAACACCUGCGGCGAAGGCGGGUUGCUGGGCUGACACUGACGCUGAGGCGCGAAAGCUAGGGGAGCGAACGGG